UUUUGAAAUAUUAACCUAUUACAAUAAACCGAGUACUCUUCCAGUUGCCACGAAUUCCCAGUUUUUUUUUUUCUUUGAUGGUGCACACGAAGUUCACGAACCGUCUGGAAUUCCGUACGAGAUGGAAAUUAUUUUUCUAAUAUUAACCAUGGUCGUCGUCGUCGUCGUGGCAUUUGCCUUCUGCGCUCCGUUCGCCAUAUGAAUUUAUUAUACAAAAUGUAGCUAUAGAAACUAAUAAAUGUCUUAGUAAUUAUU